UAGGAGAUGGAGAGACUGUGGAGUUUGAUGUUGAAGGAGAAAAGGGUGUGGAGGCAGCAAAUGUUACAGGUCCUGGUGGCAUUCCAGUUCAAGGCAGUAAAUAUGCAGCAGACAGUAACCAUUAUAGACGCUAUCCACAUCGUAGGGGUCCUCCAGGCAAUCACCAGCAAAAUUACCAGAAUAGUGAGAGUGGGGAAAAGAACAAGGGGGUCAGAGAGUGCUCCCGAAGGCCAUGCCCAACAAUGCCGGCCCUACUGCAGGCAAAGGUUCCCACCUUACUACAUGCGGAGACCCUAUGGGCGUCGACCACAAUAUUCCAACCCUCCUGUGCAUGGAGAAGUGAUGGAGGGUGCUGACAACCAGGGUGCAGGAGAGCAAGGUAGACCAGUGAGGCAGAAUAUGUAUGGGGGGUAUAGACCACGAUUCCGCAGGGGCCCUCCUCGCCAAAGACAGCCUAGAGAGGACGGCAAUGAAGAGGAUAAAGAAAAUCAAGGAGAUGAGACCCCAGGUCAGCAGCCACCUCAACAUCGGUACCGUUGCAACUUCAAUUACCGACGCAGACGCCCAGAAAACUCUAAACCACAAGAUAGCAAAGAGACAAAAGCAGCCGAUCCACCAGCUGAGAAUUCGUCUGCUCGUGAGGCUGAGCAGGGCGGGGCUGAGUAAAUGCCGGCUUACCAUCUCUACCAUCAUCCGGUUUAUUCAUCCAACAAGAAGAAAUAAGAAAUUCCAGCAAUGAGAAAUGAACAAAAGAUUGGAGCUGAAGACCUUAAGUGCUUGCUUUUGCCCGUUGACCAGAUAAAUAGAACUAUCUGCAUUAUCUAUGCAGCAUGGGGUUUUUAUUAUUUUUACUUAAAGAUGUCUCUUUUUGGUAAUAACAAACGUGUUUUUCAAAAAAGCCUGGUUUUUCUCAAUACGCCUUUAAAGGUUUUUAAAUUGUUUCAUAUCUGGUCAAGUUGAGAUUUUUAAGAACUUCAUUUUUAAUUUGUAAUAAAAGUUUACAACUUGAUUUUUUCAAAAAAGUCAACAAACUGCAAGCACCUGUUAAUAAAGGUCUUAAAUAAUUG